AGGUAUGUAGCAGACUGUUUGUUUAUUCUGAAGGUAUGUAGCAGACUGUUGUUUAUUCUGAAGGUAUGUAGCAGACUGUUUGUUUAUUCUGAGGGUAUGUAGCAGACUGUUUGUUUAUACUGAAGGUAUGUAGCAGACUGUUUGUUUAUUCUGAGGGUAUGUAGCAGACUGUUUGUUUAUUCUGAGGG
rnacentral:lncRNA from 1 species